UACGGAGGGUGCAAACGUUGCUCGGAAUCAUUGGGCGUAAAGCGCACGUAGGCGGCGCGUUAAGUCGGGUGUGAAAGCCCUGGGCUCAACCCAGGAAGUGCAUUCGAAACUGGCGCGCUUGAAUAUGGAAGAGGGUCGCGGAAUUCCCGGUGUAGAGGUGAAAUUCGUAGAUAUCGGGAGGGACACCAGUGGCGAAGGCGGCGACCUGGGCCAAUAUUGACGCUGAGGUGCGAAAGCGUGGGGAGCAAACAGG
rnacentral:rRNA from 1 species